GAUUCCCCUAGUAACGGCGAGUGAAGCGGGAAGAGCUCAAAUUUAAAAUCUGCAAGGUUCAACCUUGCCGAAUUGUAGUUUGAAGAAGUGUUUUCCGCGGCGGCUGCAGUACAAAUCCUUUGGAACAGGGUAUCAGAGAGGGUGAGAAUCCCGUCUUUGACUGCAGACUAGUUGCACUGUGAUACACUUUCUAAGAGUCGAGUUGUUUGGGAAUGCAGCUCAAAAUGGGUGGUAAAUUUCAUCUAAAGCUAAAUAUUGGCAAGAGACCGAUAGCGAACAAGUACCGUGAGGGAAAGAUGAAAAGAACUUUGAAAAGAGAGUUAAAUAGUACGUGAAAUUGUUAAAAGGGAAACGCUUGAAGUCAGUGUUGCCGGCUGAAAAUCAGCUUCGUGCGGAUGGCUUGCUGCGGUGGAGGGAGUGUCAAAACCCCUUGCCGUAGUACAGCUAGCCGGACGGAGUGCACUUUUCAGUCGACAGGUCAACAUCAAUUUCAGCCGGUGGAAAAAAGCCAGUGGAAUGUAGGUUGGAGCAAUCCGACUGUUAUAGCCACAGGUGUAUACACCGGCGGGGAUUGAGGACAGCAGUGCAGGCCACUAUGGCGGAAGCGCCGCACUUUUCUCCGGGGGGCACGUCAAGACAGCAUGCUGACUUGGUGUGUACACUCUUGGGAACGGGGCGGAUGUACUUCUCCUGCACUAAGGAUGUUGACGAAAUGGCUUUAAACGACCCGUCUUGAAACACGGACCAAGGAGUCUAACAAAUAUGCGAGUAUUUGGGUGGCAAACCCAUAUGCGCAAUGAAAGUGAAUGUAGGUGGGAUCCCCUUCGCGGGGGAGCACCAUCGACCGAUCUGGAUUUUUUAAAGAUAGAUUUGAGUAAGAGCAUAUCUGUUGGGACCCGAAAGAUGGUGAACUAUGCCUGAAUAGGGUGAAGCCAGAGGAAACUCUGGUGGAGGCUCGUAGCGAUUCUGACGUGCAAAUCGAUCGUCAAAUUUGGGUAUAGGGGCGAAAGACUAAUCGAACCAUCUAGUAGCUGGUUCCUGCCGAAGUUUCCCUCAGGAUAGCAGAAACUCCUUUGAACAGUUUUAUUGAGGUAAACCGAAUGAUUUAAGGACUUAGGGAUGAAACAUCCCUUAACCUAUUCUCCAACUUUUAAAUAUGUAAAACAGUCCCUGUUGGUUUAAUUUGAACGGGGACAACUCCAAAGAGAGAUUUCUUAUGGGGGCAUUUUUUGGUAGACAAACAUGGGGGAUGCGGGAUGAACACCACCCUGAGGUUAUAGGUGCCGGGAAAAAACCCUCCUUUUUAUCCCCCCCAAAAGGGUGGUGUUCUUCUUAACAACCAGAACAGUGGGCAUCGG
rnacentral:rRNA from 1 species